CUUCAGGAUAACUCUAAAUUGUGGUGACUGGUACCAGCCCCAAGGAUCCACUCUGCCAGCUGAGAAACACAGAGGCGCAGAAGUACGCCAUUCAGUUCCGCAUCUUAUCCUAGCAAUGCUGUCUGAGGCCAUGAUCCUUCAAACACCCACAUAUUAAACCCCCUGUGGAAUAUCAAGUCUGACUAUAUCAACUGCUAACAUGUGACUGAUGGAUGGGUGAUCUGUUCUUGCAAACUGGGAUACCAGGUUGCAGCUGUUGAGAAUGGUGGGGACAUUUGUGUGGACACAGUGUUUACAGGUCUGCUCCCUGUCCCUUACUGCUUAAAGGAUUUAUUGUUUCACAGCUUCUGGUG
rnacentral:lncRNA from 1 species